GAGGUGGAAGGAUGGCUUGAGCCCAGGAGGUGGAGGUUGCAGGGAGCUGUGAUCAUACCACUGCACUCCAGCCUGGGUGACAGAGCAAGACCCUGUCU
ensembl:miRNA